rnacentral:rRNA from 1 species
UGCAGUCGAGCGGUAGAGAGGUGCUUGCACCUCUUGAGAGCGGCGGACGGGUGAGUAAAGCCUAGGAAUCUGCCUGGUAGUGGGGGAUAACGCUCGGAAACGGACGCUAAUACCGCAUACGUCCUACGGGAGAAAGCAGGGGACCUUCGGGCCUUGCGCUAUCAGAUGAGCCUAGGUCGGAUUAGCUAGUUGGUGAGGUAAUGGCUCACCAAGGCGACGAUCCGUAACUGGUCUGAGAGGAUGAUCAGUCACACUGGAACUGAGACACGGUCCAGACUCCUACGGGAGGCAGCAGUGGGGAAUAUUGGACAAUGGGCGAAAGCCUGAUCCAGCCAUGCCGCGUGUGUGAAGAAGGUCUUCGGAUUGUAAAGCACUUUAAGUUGGGAGGAAGGGCAUUAACCUAAUACGUUAGUGUUUUGACGUUACCGACAGAAUAAGCACCGGCUAACUCUGUGCCAGCAGCCGCGGUAAUACAGAGGGUGCAAGCGUUAAUCGGAAUUACUGGGCGUAAAGCGCGCGUAGGUGGUUCGUUAAGUUGGAUGUGAAAUCCCCGGGCUCAACCUGGGAACUGCAUUCAAAACUGUCGAGCUAGAGUAUGGUAGAGGGUGGUGGAAUUUCCUGUGUAGCGGUGAAAUGCGUAGAUAUAGGAAGGAACACCAGUGGCGAAGGCGACCACCUGGACUGAUACUGACACUGAGGUGCGAAAGCGUGGGGAGCAAACAGGAUUAGAUA